rnacentral:tRNA from 1 species
GGGGAUGUAGCUCAAAUGGUAGAGCACUCGCUUUGCAUGUGAGGCACGGGGUUAGAUCCCCCGCAUCUCCA